CCGUGGUGGCGUCGUUGAAUCUUGGUGAAAUCUGCCGCGCGAAAGAGCUGGGGUGUCUUAGACCCCAAACCAGGGUUCGGGACGCGGGACCCCCGCGGGCUGCCCGCGGGUCCGGGCCUCCGCACGCGGCCGUGGGCAGUGCAGAUUCGGGCACUCACUAACGGCAGAAGCCCGCCUGCUGCGUCCCGGUCUUCCGCUCAGAGGGUCUGGACCUCAGUUCCCUCGCUUGUAAUGUGGGCACAGUGUUGCCCGACGACCGCGGUGGUGCAAGGCCUACGGGAGGCAGGCUGCGUGGGCGUGCACGGCCCACCUGCGAGCGGGGGCCCGCGCCGGCAGCUCAGAGGGCUGACCGUGAGCCCGGUCGUUGAGCAGGGUAGAGCACCUGGCCCUGGCUGACCCCAGCGACCCAUCGCGGAGAGUUGGUAAAGGGCGGUGCUGUGCCCCCUGGGUGCGAGCCACCAGACAGUUGUGGUCUUGUUAAGUCUACAUCAGCGGGGAGGGUUCAGUAGUAUCCGCAAGGCCCAGAGAAGGGGAGAGAUUUUGUUGAGGCGAGUGGUGGACCCUCUGUCGGGUGGCUCCUCCGCCCCGAGAGGAGAUGGUGGGCGAGCCACCUGGGAGUACCACCUCCUUUCUGUCCGGAGUUAACCCAAGCCCCAGCGUCCUGCUGAAGCUCCAAAAUAGUGGAACAAAAAAGGCUUCUGCCAGAAGAGAGACAGAUGCUUGAUUAUAACCCGGAAACUCCGUGUCUCUCAGUAAUCGACAGAACAGGUGGUGGCCGGUCAGUGAGGAUGUGGAGGACUCUACCAGCACUUUCACCUGCAGCGGUGGGAUUGGCAUUCCCAAGAACGCCACACCCAACAGCAGCAGAAAGCUGGCGAGGGCGACAGCCCUAUCGCAGAGAUGCACUGAAUGCCCCAGGGCCCGGCGGACGUCACCUGGGGCAGGAGCGUUCCGAGAACACAGAUGGCCUCUGAAGGCUGAGCAUUAGCCAGAAGCCAGGUGGAGGACCGUUUGAAGGAGGGCAUCCGUCCUCCCCAGCUCACACGGUGGAAUUCUUUUUUUUUAAUCUAGAUUUUUUAAAAGAGAUUUUAUUUAUUCAUUUUUAGAGAGGGGAAGAGAAGGAAAAAGGGAGAGAAAUAUCAAUGUGUGUUUGCCUCUCGUGCUCCCCCUACUGGGGACCCUUUGGUUCACAGGCCAGAGCCCAAUCCACUGAGCCACCCCAGCCAGGAAGAAUUCUAAUGCUCAGUGUGAUGGUGUUAGAAGAUGGGGCCUCUGGAAUGUGAUUAGGUCAUGACGGUGGAGGUGAAUUCGUGCUCAGUGAAGGACCCCACAGAGCCUCCUAGACCCUGCUGCUGAGUGAGGAGCAAGGACACAUCUGCAGCCCAGACUUGGUUGGUUGCAUAAGGACUCUUAUUCAACCCGUCGUGACACCCUGAUCUUGGACUUCCAGCCUUCAAAACUGGGAAAUACAUUUCUAUUUUUUAUAAGCAAAAAAGGGGGAGGGGUGGGGGUUGCCCAUAACCUUGGUGGGGUAGCUCUGUUGGUUAGAGUGUCCAGAUGCACCAAGGUUGCAGGUUUGAUCCUUCAUCAGGACAUGUAUAAGACUCAACCGAUGAAUGCAUCAAUAAGUGGAAUAGAUGUUUCGUUCUCUCUGGAAUGAAUUAAAAGGAAGGUCGGGCUGC